AAAAGAUGUGAACUAUCCAAAAAAGAUGGAUAACUUAAAAAACCCACAACUCACCGUCCUUUAAUCCAUGCAAUCGGCAAAACUUAGUAAUACAAGAAAUGAAACAUAUGCAGGCACACAAAAGAAAAGCCACUCUAAUAUACUCAAGUUUUAUGGAUGGAUAUAGCAUUUUUCCUUACAUUGCAAUAUUAAAGCAAAUUAAUCGAAGAUCCAUCCAUUGCACGG
rnacentral:lncRNA from 1 species